rnacentral:rRNA from 1 species
AGUGAACGCUGGCGGCAGGCCUAACACAUGCAAGUCGAGCGGAUGAACGGAGCUUGCUUCUGGAUUCGGCGGCGGACGGGUGAGUAAUGCCUAGGAAUCUGCCAGGCUGCGCGGUAUAACGUCCUGACACGGGCGCAAUUACCCCAUUACUGCAUAUGCAGAAAGUGGGGGAUCUUCGGACCUCACGCUAUCAGGUGAGCCUAGGUCGGAUUAGCUAGUUGGUGGGGUAAAGGCCUACCGAGGCGACGAUCGGUAACUGGUCUGAGAGGAUGAUCAGUCACACUGGAACUGAGACACGGUCCAGACUCCUACGGGAGGCAGCAGUGGGGAAUAUUGGACAAUGGGGGGAAGCCUGAUCCAGCCAUGCCGCGUGUGUGAAGAAGGUCUUCGGAUUGUAAAGAACUUUAGGUGGGAGGGAAGGGCAGUAGGUUAAUACCUUGCUGUUUUGACGUUACCAAGAGAAUAAGCACCGGCUAACUUCGUG